CUACGGGCCGCUGCAGUGGGGAAUAUUGCACAAUGGAGGAAACUCUGAUGCAGCAACGCCGCGUGGAGGAUGACACUUUUCGGAGCGUAAACUCCUUUUAUAUAGGAAGAAGAUGACGGUACUAUAUGAAUAAGCGCCGGCUAACUCCGUGCCAGCAGCCGCGGUAAUACGGAGGGCGCAAGCGUUACUCGGAAUCACUGGGCGUAAAGAGCGUGUAGGCGGAUUAAAAAGUCAGAAGUGAAAUCCUAUAGCUUAACUAUAGAACUGCUUCUGAAACUCUUAAUCUAGAAUAUGUGAGAGGUAGAUGGAAUUUCUGGUGUAGGGGUAAAAUCCGUAGAGAUCAGAAGGAAUACCGAUUGCGAAGGCGAUCUACUAGAACAUUAUUGACGCUGAGACGCGAAAGCGUGGGGAGCAAACAGGAUUAGAUACCCUGGUAGUC
rnacentral:rRNA from 1 species